rnacentral:misc_RNA from 1 species
GAUGAAGAACGUAGUGAAAUGCGAUAAGUAGUGUGAAUUGCAGAAUUCAGUGAAUCAUCGAAUCUUUGAACGCACAUUGCGCCCUUUGGUAUUCCUUAGGGCAUGCCUGUUCGAGCGUCAUUUCAACCCUCAAGCCCUGCUUGGUGUUGGGCGUUUGUCCUGCCUCCGCGCGGGACUCGCCUCAAAGACAUUGGCGGCCGGUUUCCCUUUGCAGGCCACGAGCGCAGCACAGCGAGCGCUCUACGUGGACGCGGGGUCGGCGCACCAGAAGCCCUCUUUCUCGAAUUUUGACCUCGGAUCAGGUAGGGAUACCCGCUGAACUUAAGCAUAUCAAUAAGCGGAGGA